rnacentral:tRNA from 1 species
GUUGAUGUAGCUUAAUCAUUAAAGCAAGGCACUGAAAAUGCCUAGAUGAGUUUUUUUACUCCAUAAACA